UAAACCGCAUAANGUCGCAAGACCAAAGAGGGGGACCUUCGGGCCUCUUGCCAUCAGAUGUGCCCAGAUGGGAUUAGCUAGUAGGUGGGGUAACGGCUCACCUAGGCGACGAUCCCUAGCUGGUCUGAGAGGAUGACCAGCCACACUGGAACUGAGACACGGUCCAGACUCCUACGGGAGGCAGCAGUGGGGAAUAUUGCACAAUGGGCGCAAGCCUGAUGCAGCCAUCCGCGUGUAUGAAGAAGGCCUUCGGGUUGUAAAGUACUUUCAGCGGGGAGGAAGGUGUUGUGGUUAAUAACCGCAGCAAUUGACGUUACCCGCAGAAGAAGCACCGGCUAACUCCGUGCCAGCAGCCGCGGUAAUACGGAGGGUGCAAGCGUUAAUCGGAAUACUGGGCGUAAAGCGCACGCAGGCGGUCUGUCAAGUCGGAUGUGAAAUCCCCGGGCUCAACCUGGGAACUGCAUUCGAAACUGGCAGGCUGGAGUCUUGUAGAGGGGGGUAGAAUUCCAGGUGUAGCGGUGAAAUGCGUAGAGAUCUGGAGGAAUACCGGUGGCGAGGCGGCCCCCUGGACAAAGACUGACGCUCAGGUGCGAAAGCGUGGGGAGCAAACAGGAUUAGAUACCCUGGUAGUCCACGCCGUAAACGAUGUCGAUUUGGAGGUUGUGCCCUUGAGGCGUGGCUUCCGGAGCUAACGCGUUAAAUCGACCGCCUGGGGAGUACGGCCGCAAGGUUAAAACUCAAAUGAAUUGACGGGGCCCGCACAAGCGGUGGAGCAUGUGGUUUAAUUCGAUGCAACGCGAAGAACCUUACCUGGUCUUGACAUCCACAGAACUUUCCAGAGAUGGAUUGGUGCCUUCGGGAACUGUGAGACAGGUGCUGCAUGCUGUCGUCAGCUCGUGUUGUGAAAUGUUGGGUUAAGUCCCGCAACGAGCGCAACCCUUAUCCUUUGUUGCCAGCGGUCCGGCCGGGAACUCAAAGGAGACUGCCAGUGAUAAACUGGAGGAAGGUGGGGAUGACGCAAGUCAUC
rnacentral:rRNA from 1 species